AGGAGUGGGUGAGCGGCUCACGGCUUCGUGCUGAGGAAACUCCUCCCUCACUCCCGAGCCAGGUGCGUAAAAGCUGGGGCGAGAGCCCCACCUGGGGCGCAGAAACGACACAGCCCGGUGCCAGGGUGACUCCCGCGGGGAUGACGGUGCAUCGGGAUUUGGUGAAACGGCCCCUUCCUGGAGCAAGUCCAAAUACCGGGAUCGGUUGCUCGGGACCGCUCGGAGGUAGGACGCCAAGGUGAAUGCCGCCUAAAACAGAAGGAGGGUUACGGCCCACACCU
rnacentral:RNase_P_RNA from 1 species